rnacentral:rRNA from 1 species
GUGGGGAAUUUUGGACAAUGGGCGCAAGCCUGAUCCAGCAAUGCCGCGUGCAGGAAGAAGGCCUUCGGGUUGUAAACUGCUUUUGUCAGGGAAGAAAUCUUCUGGGCUAAUACCCCGGGAGGAUGACGGUACCUGAAGAAUAAGCACCGGCUAACUACGUGCCAGCAGCCGCGGUAAUACGUAGGGUGCGAGCGUUAAUCGGAAUUACUGGGCGUAAAGCGUGCGCAGACGGCUUUGCAAGACAGAUGUGAAAUCCCCGGGCUGAACCUGGGAACUGCAUUUGGGACUGCAAGGCUAGAGUACGGCAGAGGGGGAUGGAAUUCCGCGUGUAGCAGUGAAAUGCGUAGAUAUGCGGAGGAACACCAAUGGCGAAGGCAAUCCCCUGGGCCUGUACUGACGCUCAUGCACGAAAGCGUGGGGAGCAAACAGGAUUAGAAACCCUAGUAGUCC